rnacentral:lncRNA from 1 species
AUUACAUGUAUUCUUUUUAGAAAAAACAUUAACGAGAAUAAUUUAAAUUUUGAAAAGUUUAAAAAAAAUGCUUUUGAAAUAAUUGAGUAUAAAGAUAAAAUAAUAAGAAUGUUAUGUGCUAUAUUAGAAGUACAAGGAACUACUACUAUAAAUAUUAAAGAGUUUAUAUCAAACUUAAGUACAACAGAUCAAAUGAAAGAUCUCUUAUUUGAUAGCUCUGAAAACGAGUAACAAAAAAAAAAAAAAUAGCAAAAAAAAAAAAAAGACUAAUUUUAUGAAUGUCUUAAAUAGUUUACAAAAUUAUAAUUAAAAAAAAAUAAUAAAUAUAUUUUUUUCUUUUUUUUCGUAUAAAGCUUAAAAUCAAAUAACAAAAAAACGUCCUCUAGAAAAAGAACCGUAAGUAAAGAAGAUUGUAAAAAAUAUAAAUAUGCGUAUAUAUAUUUACAUAUAUGUUUUUAAAUAGACAAAAGUUGUAUUUAUGUAUAUGUGUAUAUACUUUUUUUUUUAAGCUAAUAACUAUUCCUAAGUUCAAAAAAUUAAAAAAAAAAAAUGAGCUAAAUAUAUUUUCAAGCCCAAAUAAAAUAAAUGACGAGUUAAAUAAAGAAAAGAAUUUUUCUGAUUCUAUUCUAAGUUCUUAUAAAUUAUUUUUAACCGAAAAACAAAAUGAAAAUAAAAUAGAAAAAGAACAGAUAAAUGAUGAGACUUUUUCUGACAUACAAAAUAUAUCAAAAGAAAAUUCCGAUAUCGAAACAGAACUAAAUCUAAAUAAAACUGGCAGUGUAUCUUUGAUAAACUCUAAAUCAAAUAAGAGUUUUAUUGACAGCCAUAAAAAGGCAUUAGAAAAUUUCCAAAAGGAUGAUGCAAAUUUUGAAUGUACAUAUAAUUGUAAAAGCGAAAAAGGACAAAAAAGUUCUAACUUAAGCACAAAAAUUAAUGAUUUAAAUGUUGAACAAUGUCAACUGUGUUUAAUGCCUAAUACGGAAUCGCUACAUGGAAAUUUCCCUCCCCUCUUUUAUAAACUAAGUUGUGGCCACGUUUUUCAUUUAAUGUGUAUCUAUGAAACUGUUAUAAGAAGGGAAUGUAGAAAGACUUGUUGUAUUUGUCAUACUGACUUGAGUGAAGCAGAUAAAAAUGAAAUUGUAAACAAAGUUAAAUGGGAAAAAAAGGAAAAUGAAAAAAGAAGCAAACUUUUAUUUAAAGUAAUGAAAUUACAAGCCGAAAACAAUAAUUAAAAAUAAACAAAUAAAUAAGAAACCA